rnacentral:rRNA from 1 species
UACGUAGGGUCCGAGCGUUGUCCGGAAUUACUGGGCGUAAAGAGCUCGUAGGCGGCUUGUCGCGUCGUCCGUGAAAACCUGCGGCUCAACUGCAGGCUGGCGGUCGAUACGGGCAGGCUGGAGUUCGGUAGGGGAGACGUGGAAUUCCUGGUGUAGCGGUGAAAUGACGCAGAUAUCAGGAGGAACACCGGUGGCAAAGGCGACUUCCUGGCCUGUUCUUGACGCUGAGGCGCGAAAGCUGGGGGAGCAAACGGG